rnacentral:rRNA from 1 species
GAUGAGCGCUGGCGGCGUGCCUAAUACAUGCAAGUCGAGCGAACAGAUGAGGAGCUUGCUCCUCUGACGUUAGCGGCGGACGGGUGAGUAGCACGUGGAUAACCUACCUAUAAGACUGGGAUAACUUCGGGAAACCGGAGCUAAUACCGGAUAAUAUAUUGAACCGCAUGGUUCAAUAGUGAAAGACGGUUUUGCUGUCACUUAUAGAUGGAUCCGCGCCGCAUUAGCUAGUUGGUAAGGUAACGGCUUACCAAGGCAACGAUGCGUAGCCGACCUGAGAGGGUGAGCGGCCCCACUGGAACAUGGACAAGGGCCAGACGCCGACGGGAGGACGCAGUAGGGAAUCUUCCGGAAUGGGCGAAAGCCUUACGGAGCAACGCCGCGUGAGGGAUGAAGGUCUUCGGAUCCUAAAACUCUGUUAUUAGGGAAGAACAAAUGUGUAAGUAACUAUGCACGUCUUGACGGUACCUAAUCAGAAAGCCACGGCUAACUACGUG